ensembl:lncRNA
AGCGCGGCUCCGGUUCGCGUCCUCCGGAAAGUCGGCGGGCUGAGGGGCCCGGGGAGCUUUCUUACAUAAAGCGCACAUCUGUGUGUUGGAACAGCCGCCCACGUGCCUGCUAUAGCACAGACGUAGUUUGGGUUUUUAACGUGGCAGUGACUUCCUGAAAGGUUCGGAAAUGCCCGAAGCGGUGACUGCACUGGAGGGACCGACACGGCUCCCAGGUGCUGCAGCCCGGCUCCCACGGCGCUGUCGGCGCUGAGUGCCCGCCCAGCCGCGCAGCCACUCAGGAGACACCAAAGUGACGGCUGCAGCGCUCAGCUCUGGAAGUUACUUUGCUUCCAGCAGGACGUAUGACUGCAAUGGCUCUUCUCUCCCCGCACUGAUGUGUGCGGGCCACGGAGCUGCAUGCGGACCCUGACCGAGCUGCUCACGCGGUGCAUUUGGCCACCAAGCUGGGUUCCCAGGCAGCCUGGGGACGGAGCCGGCAGCCAAUGAGAACCCCACAGCUCGUGUCCCAGCCCGGCUGCCUGCUGCCCCGCGUUCCCAUCCCUCAGGCCUGGUUGGCACACGGGAUGUGGGGCUGCGGUGCACGCUGACAGCCGCCCGCUGUUCCGCAGCCCUGGGAAACCAAGAAUAACAGCACUUGGGGGAUGUGUUUAUGUCACAAGUGCUCUGAAAUAGCACAAUUACACAUUGUUGUUUUUUUCCCGCAUUAUGAGUAUUAACUGCCAACACCCACAGAAAUCUGGUGUAAUUAACUUCGUUCCUUAAGCGAGACCCUUCCCAUUGUCUGGGGGUACUUCUUACUGCGACCUGCUCCCCUCGGGCAGUCUCAGCACUGAGCCAUCCAGUCGCCGUGCAUGGUGGCACAGGCACUGAGGAGCUGUGCAGCAGUGAGAGUGCAGCUCCUCAUCUGAGCGACUGCAGCAUCGGUUGGAGGCGCAGGGCAGGGAGAGCAGACCCAUCCAAUCGCUAAUUGCAAACAGUGCUGGUGUAGAGAACGGUGUUUGUAAUUAUGAACAUAGCUAUUAAAAUAUCAUUUUGCUUUUUAGGCCGCCUGAUUCUAGCAUGGGGUAUGAAGGAGCUAUAUUUGAAGAAGUUUAUCAUUUCCAAUGCUUCGGAGAAAAGGAAGUCUAAGCUGGAAAUGAAGCUCCUUUAUCACUUUUAAAGGCUGGUUUGCACUGAUUCUGCUCUGCCCCAGCACUGAGUGCAGCCCCAGCCCUCCCCAGGGAUGGAUGCUGCCCACACUGGCAGCUUGAGUGGGGGACAGAGGAAGGCCGUUGGGGUUUGUCUUUUUGCAGGUCGAACUGAAUGGGGUCUGCUUCUUCAGUAUGAAAACCAUGGAUUGAAACUGAAGUGAAAAUGGAAUGCUGUGAAUGUUACUAGUGGGUAAAAAGAAGUUGGGUUGUUUUUUUGGAUGGCAGAACUUUAAUUAUAAGAAGUACUGUAAAAAAUCUAGAUGGCAUAUUUACUCAUUUGGUCCGUACAACAGCCAGCAAAAUCAGCCCAUAUUGAUGGGAUACGCAGAAAGAAAUGUAUUAGUUUGCAGAGCACAGCAUUCCAGUGCAAGAUAGCAUUGAAAAAAACAAGUCAAUUCUUCCAUUAGUCAAAUUCCUGUUAAAUUAUCCAUACUUCCCAGUGAGCAAGUCCAUGGACCAGGUUCCUAUCAAUGUAUUGAUGGUGAAGGCUGGAUAUGCUGGUAUCUAAAAAACACCCACAGAAUGAAACCUGCCCCCAUCAUACAGCAUCAUUCCAGGGAUGGGGAAUGCCACAGAGCUCUGCAACCAGCAGACAAAAGUGUGGAUUUUGGAGGGGAGGGAUGCAGGGUGCAGAAUGGUGCAAAGGGAAGAGGCACAGGGAGUGACUGUGGAUGGGAGGAGAGCGUUUCUGUUGAGACCUUGUCAGUGUUUGGCAUAUGCAGGUCUGCCCUCCUCUGUUAUCCAUGCACCCAUCAGCUCCUGGGAGUCACUUUGAUGAAGGAAUCAGAGGAAAAUUGGAAAAUACCUUCAGCUUGAGGCCUGAGUCAAGUGCUGUUAUUAAUAGCGUGUUUAAUUACGAGUGGCAUCUAAAUCAGGUGAGUCUGGGAAGGUAAGAUGAAGGGGGAAAAUUGCCGUAAGAGCCUCUGAUUAGCGAGUAAAACACAAUUAGCUGUUCUCAAAGAGCAGCAAAGCCCACACCUGAUGACCACCACCUGCAGCCCGGGCUGUGUGUCCUGCAGGUCUCCAUCCUCGUGGAGGUCCCAUAGCGGUGUGCAUGAGGUGUGGCAGCUUUUUGGGUGCCCUGGUGCAGGGCUGGGUGUCCCUGGGGCAGCUCCUUCCCUUUGCUGCAGGGAGGCACAGCAGCCAAACCUGGGCUGUGUGUUGGGUUAGAACAGCUGCAGUGCACACGCUCCAAUCUCUUGAGCAGAGUUGGUCUGUGCACCAAAUCCUUCCUAAGCCUCUUUCUUAGCAGGUGCCUGAAUUUCAGAGGUAUAAGGUGAGAUGCUGUGGGUCGGGAUCUCGCUUCUUUCAGAUACUGGUAUUAUUACUACUUUAUCUAAUUGGAGCUCUGAAGUGAAAAAUACUCCUUCUUCUCUGACUUCGAGGUCUCAAUGAACAAUUUUUUCUGUUACAGUUCUCUGUUUCUGUGUAAUUUUAGCAUCAUACCAGGACAGGGAGCGUAACUUCAGGGAGCUGCUUUGACACACACUGCUCUGCCAUGGGGUUAACAGCAGACCCAGUGUACCAUAUCCCUGAUGGCAGCGUGCUCACUUGGCAGCAGCAAUCAGCUCCAUCCCAGCAGCUCCCAGCUAUCCCUGCUCCUCACAUCCACUGCCAAUGAGACUUCUGCUUUGCUCAGUGCAAGCAACAACUCCUUGUCUGUCAGUGGAUGAUGCUUUUCUGCAGUUAUUUCUAGGGUCCCGUGCUGCACGGUGGCUGCCUGGCAGUGGGAGUGGGAGAGCAGACAGAGAGGUGUGGGACAGAGACCCACAGUCAGCUGAACAUCCUUUUCUGCCCAUGCAGGAAUCAAAGCUUUUAGUGUUAUUCAAAGUCAGCAUCACACACAGAAGAAAUAGUUGGCUGCUGCAAUCAGCAGUGAUGAACAAUCAUUAUGAGGUGCAAAAGGAACGUUGUUAAUAGGAGGCUACAUCUCCAGGCAUAAGCUGAAGAACAGGAGGAAAAGCAAAGCAAGAGAUUCCCAUGUUGAGACCAUGGAGCGCAGGAAGCUGCAGUGCUGUGCAGCCAUCUGAACUCAGAGUGAUGUUUGACCUCAGAUGAUGAACAGGAGCUUUGCCUUCUUGCUGUGCAAUGCCAGAUCACCAGAAAAGAUCUUAGCUAAUACUUGUAAUGAUAUCGUGGCUCAGAUUGGGUGUACGAGCAUGUUGUAUGCUGCUUAACAGCAGAAGGUGAUGGGAUUUGAUGGAGAUACAUGUCUGUAUUUCCUAACCUUCAGCAGGAACAGCAAAGAACUCUUGUUCCAAGAAGGAAUUCAGAAUAUCUCCUCCGCGUUCUACCUCUGCAUGCUGAGACAGAGUGAGAACUGCAGUCAUGGAGUGAGAAGACUCACAGAAGAGGUCAGUGCUUACCAUAACAACAGCGGUGCACUUUUGCAGGGCUGUGGUAUUUUCCAGGGUGUUGUAGUUGGGCAUUCCCUGCACAAAGCAUGAAGGACCGUGCCAUGCUGACAUGCUGACAAGGCAGCCUCUGUCCCGGUCUCACAGGCAGCACUGUGAGCUGGAGUUGCCUUUAGCCGUCAGAUACAUCAGCUUGAUAAUCUGUGCAAAGGUGUGUGGUUGGUACACCCCAUCUGUCUGAGUUCUACAACAAGUCCCUGUUUGCAUCAAAUUCUGGACUGCUCGCGUCCCUCUCUGACUACACUGGAGAACAGCUGAGGUCCCUCUCACUGAACGCUGCUUCCCAAGGGCUGAAUUCGGAUGAGAAAACCACUGUAACAUUGGCUCCUACUAUUCAGUGGGAAUAACCAGAGCCAGGUGAGCACGGAUUCUGUGGCACAUAUUGAAUGCCUGGAGACCAACAACAGAGCUCCUGGAAUGGAAUUCCUCCAUUCCAGGUGGUCCACUGCAACAAAUAAUGGACUCAACAAAAAGAACAGUUAUAAGAAUAAAGGAGAAAGAGUGAUUUGUAUUUGGAGGAAUUACGAGUGUGACUUCAUUCAGAACCAGCCCAGCACACGUGCAGAACUCCCUAAGUGCAGUUCAGAGCAUUGCGUCCUCUGAUCAGGUAGGAACUAAUUUGCUAAGUGCAAAAGUUGGAAAAUUUUGUAGCUGUUUAACAGCAAAUCACAGAUCUGUCCUCAUUUAUUUUUCCUGACACAUUUAUUAUUGAAAGAUGGUUUGGUGAGUGCCAUAAGUAAGCAGGCGGUGUUGUUCCUGAGCCCUGAGAUUUGUCACUUCGGCUACAUCUUUCUGAUCUGUGACGGAGUGUUUUCUGCAGGAGAACAGGAAUGCUAAAUAAGGCAUCAAUAAUGCAAGAGAUCCGUGAAUAAUCACCCGAGUGCUUGAAAACGAGUGGACAGUGUGAUCAUAUGGUAGAAGAAAAAUAACGUUAGCUGCAUAUUUAUCAACGCCUGGUGCCAUUAGCACAGGGUCUGGCAAUAGCUCAAGGCUUCUAGGAGACAGUGCACACAGUGCUUUGGUGCCCAAUGCUACAGGAGGAGGGCACAUCCCCAGAGCAGGGAGCUUGUUUGGGCCCGGCCAGUCUGUGGCUGGAUGGGGUAAUGGAUGGGGAUGGCAGACAGCACCCUUCGUGUGUUUGUCCUAUGCUGCUGCAUUUUAGCCCCGUCUCUCACUGCACCAACGUGUCUAUCUUAAAAAGGACUUCUGAGUGCAAACAUUUGAUCCUGGGAGCAAGCAGAGUCAUUGGAAACUGUACCAGAAAGAACUGCCCCUGUCCCGCAGCUGUGUUGGAGUCACUCUCGGACAGCCUGCACUUCUGGUAGCUUUGGAACUGAGCUCUUUUGGGGCUGAAUGAGAGGGGCCCAACAGCUCCAUCAGGAGAAAAAUGGCUGCGGGAAGUACAGAGUGCGUGUCAACGUGUGUCUAACGAGAGCUGAUGGGAAAUGCAGGACCGUGAACAGAUGCAAUGGAAUGGCAUCCUGUGGGAGGAGGCAGGUCCAGCCGCACACGGCACUGCCACGGGGUACAGGAACGAGUUAAUGCCACUGGGGGACGGCUGAGAACAGCGACAUUGUUGUUCCCUGAUGUCAGCCCAGAAACCCAAACACAAAGAGGUGAAUGUAGUGCUAUGAGAGGGCCCUUGAGAGAGCUGAAUGCUGGGCCUGUGCCGGGGCACCCAGCAGAAUUAGAAACGGCAGGGGAUGACCAAGUGUUUCCUGGAAGCAGGGGCUGCAGGCAGCUGUCGGCAGGCAGGGCUGUGUGCGUGGGGCACUGCUGGCUGCAGUGGUACAAGCAGGCAGUGUCGGUAGGCUUGAGGAGAUCCACGUCCACGAGGGACUCCUGUUUUACUUUAUAGCUCAGCGUAAGGCGUCUCGUUUCCUCCUGUAGGAUGCACAUGUCGAGCCCUUCUGCAUAAUUCAGUGUUGCAUUUGGUGGGUGGUGCUCUGGGGGAUAUUUAGAUGGAGCGACAGUAGAGACAUUGCUUCGCUUCUGUACAAACUGCACAUCAGAUCUUCUACGUGUAACGUGGGGAAAAAAAGACAGAGAUCUGCUGGAAGGAGUCCGGUGGAGGGCCACAACGAUGAUAGAAGGCCUGGAGCAUCUUCCCUGUGAGGAAAGGCUGAGAGACCCCAGGUUCAGCCCGGGGAAAAGGAGGCCGAGAUGGGAUCUGUUUAUGUUUAUGAACAUGAAGGGAGGCGGGAGCCAAAAGGAUGAGGCCAGGCUCUUCUUGGUGGUGCGCAGCAAUAGGACGAGAAGCAACGGCCUAACACUUGUUGUAGGAAGUUUCAAGCUAACAUGUGGAAGAACUUUAUGUAAGGGUGAGGGAGCACCCUGCAGAUCUGUACGGAAAGUCUGAGACUAAACGCUGACAGAGACGUAUGCACCAACACACGGCACCACUGCAGGCAGCAUGACGGGGAGCCGGAACCCCGAGGGCAGCACCCGUCGGGGGGCCUCCACGGGGCACCAGCGGCAGGAGAGCGGCCGGCCCACAGGCCGAGAGCACGGAGCGGAGCGGCGGGGGACGGCGGGAAGCCCGGGGACAACGCCGGGCGGGGCCGCCGAGGCGCCGAGCUGCCCGCAGAGCGCUCCACCCAGCCGGGCUCGGCCCGGCCCCGCGCGGCGGCCCGCCCUCUCAUAGCGCCCCGCGAAAACCUUCCCACAGCCGGGGAUGUAGCUCAGUGGUAGAGCGCGCGCUUCGCAUGUGUGAGGUCCCGGGUUCAAUCCCCGGCAUCUCCAGCGGCUUCUUUUUUGCGUCGCACGCCAUUUUCUCCCCUCUCUCCAGCUGCGGGAGGCUCCCGUUGCCGCGAAUCGCGCGGCCGUUGUCCCGCCGCACCGCUGUGCGCCUGAGGCCAGUCCUCGGGGAGGCCGGGAAAGCAACGCGGCGCUGCGGCUUCUCCGGCCUUAAAAAGAGCACUGCUUUUUGCCGAAAGGAAAUACAAACGAGUAAAUCAAUCAAGGCUUUAAAGGGAAGGAAAAAAUUUCGGUUGCAUUGGCCGGGAAUCGAACCCGGGCCUCCCGCGUGGCAGGCGAGAAUUCUACCACUGAACCACCAAUGCACGACUUGCUAUGUUAUAUGGAUGGUCUGUCCUACAAUAUAUCAAACAUUGGGUUUCUGCUGUGCUUUUCUUCUCCCUUCCCUCUUCCCAGCUCUGUGCCCAUGAGCAGUACCUCCAGCCGUUAUCUCCAGGAGAAAAUGUUUUUAGAAAGUCGGCAAUAUUUGUAUACAUUUUUUCCUCCAACAGAUUAAAAACCCUGUAACUUUCCAUAAUAAAGUCAUCGUCCCUUGAAUUUAACAGCAUUCAGGCUAAGUAACAGCGGGUUUAUCCUUGUAUCCAGUGCUGGGAGGGCACUGCCAGAGGAGGCCACCAGCAGAGACCACAGCUCUGCUCAGCACAGCCCUGCUCUGAGGGACGCAGCCCACAGACACUGAUACACAAUGGAACACAGUGCAGUGAUGGGUAAUGGUGUAAGAGGGCCUGGACAGUGACGUAACAACGUCACCACUGCAGCAGUGCGGUGCAGUGCCAUCACAGCUCCUUGUCCCCCCAGACCUCAACUUCUCCUUUUACGCUGGCAGAAAGUAACAGAGUAAAAGCAUCAGGUAGUAACCCUUACUUAGGCUAUGCUUACAAUAUCUCCAGUCAGCCCUGGAACACUUUCUCUAGAACAAAAGAAGUUAGAGGUGGAAAAUGCUCAUAUUGAGAAGAGUUUAACUUCCUGUUUUACUCUAUGUGGAGGAAGAUUUUACAGAUGAUCAACAAAGUGUUACCAAUCCUGUGCCAUUUCCAGAGUGAAAGUGAAACCAGCCCUUACACUUGCAGUUUGCAGCUAAGAGAAUCCUUUCCCACGUGCAUCAGACAGCGCUCUGCAUCCGCUCAGAACAUCCAUGUAUGCUGGCUGAAGGGUUACAGACAGCACGGUGAAGGAGGGGGAGUUGGACCCACUGCAGCUGGAGCACUGCUGCAGAACGUGCUCCAGAAGCACUUGUUCAAGCAGUGUGACAGGCUCAUACCUAACUUCUAACUCUAGGGAUGUCUAAGACAUCCUAACUUUACGAUGACUGCACGUGGGAGAGUGCUGAAUGGAGAGAAUCAAGACCUGUAACAUUAGAAAAUGAUUAGAAAAUCAUUCCCUUCAGCUGGUUCAAAAAUCUUUCUAGAAGCCAAAGGGAUGCCAUAGACCUUCAGCAGAAACAGAGAAGGAAAAACAUGUUAUAGGGAGAGAGGAUUUUCUUAGAUCUUUUUAUCCAUCAAAAAGAGCCAAAUGCACUUCCUUCCAUUCCAGGUCACCUUUAAAGGGGCUCUGAUCUUGCUGCUUGUGGCUAAGGCUUGACACAGUGCCUUCCUAGCGGCUCUGCUGCUGCAGGGUGGGAGUGAUGUGCUCUGGGCACUGGUGCUGCCCCUGCUGUGUGCCUCUGAGGAGGGUGCUGUAGCUCAGGGGCACCGAGAGCAUCUCAAGUGCAGGUGGUACAGGUGGAUUUGGAACAAGGUAAGGAGUUUCAGACAGGAAGUGCUAAAACUGCUCAAAUCACUCUUAAAACUGGAGGUGUGAGUUACCUGGAGUGUGGUAAGCGGACAUCAUUCAUUCCCUCUUUCCUGCUAGGUAUGGCCACACGUGCUCCUGCCAUGUGAUGCCCGUGUGGCGGUGCACCACUCACAGUUACAGUGGGGUUGCAUCCAUCUCUGUAUU